GACAGAGGGUGCAAACGUUUGUUCGGAUUUACUGGGCGUAAAGCGCGUGUAGGCGGCUUUGCAAGUCGGAUGUGAAAGCCCACGGCUCAACCGUGGAAGUGCAUCCGAAACUGCAUGGCUCGAGUCUCGGAGAGGAAGGUGGAAUGCUUGGUGUAGAGGUGAAAUUCGUAGAUAUCAAGCAGAACACCUGCGGCGAAGGCGGCCUUCUGGACGAUGACUGACGCUGAGACGCGAAAGCGUGGGGAGCAAACAGG
rnacentral:rRNA from 1 species